rnacentral:rRNA from 1 species
UGAGGAAUAUUGGUCAAUGGACGAGAGUCUGAACCAGCCAAGUAGCGUGAAGGAUGAAGGUUCUAUGGAUUGUAAACUUCUUUUAUACGGGAAUAAACGAAUCCACGUGUGGAUUUUUGCAUGUACCGUAUGAAUAAGGAUCGGCUAACUCCGUGCCAGCAGCCGCGGUAAUACGGAGGAUCCGAGCGUUAUCCGGAUUUAUUGGGUUUAAAGGGAGCGUAGAUGGGUUGUUAAGUCAGUUGUGAAAGUUUGCGGCUCAACCGUAAAAUUGCAAUUGAUACUGGCAGUCUUGAGUACAGUUGAGGUAGGCGGAAUUCGUGGUGUAGCGGUGAAAUGCUUAGAUAUCACGAAGAACUCCGAUUGCGAAGGCAGCUUACUAACCUGUAACUGACAUUGAUGCUCGAAAGUGUGGGUAUCAAACAGGAUUAGAUACCCUGGUAGUCCACACGGUAAACGAUGAAUACUCGCUGUAGGCGAUAUACAGUCUGCGGCCAAGCGAAAGCAUUAAGUAUUCCACCUGGGGAGUACGCCGGCAACGGUGAAACUCAAAGGAAUUGACGGGGGCCCGCACAAGCGGAGGAACAUGUGGUUUAAUUCGAUGAUACGCGAGGAACCUUACCCGGGCUUGAAUUGCAACUGAAUGAUGUGGAGACAUGUCAGCCGCAAGGCAGUUGUGAAGGUGCUGCAUGGUUGUCGUCAGCUCGUGCCGUGAGGUGUCGGCUUAAGUGCCAUAACGAGCGCAACCCUUAUCGAUAGUUACCAUCAGGUUAUGCUGGGGACUCUGUCGAGACUGCCGUCGUAAGAUGUGAGGAAGGUGGGGAUGACGUCAAAUCAGCACGGCCCUUACGUCCGGGGCUACACACGUGUUACAAUGGGGGGUACAGAAGGCAGCUACACGGCGACGUGAUGCUAAUCCCUAAAGCCUCUCUCAGUUCGGAUUGGAGUCUGCAACCCGACUCCAUGAAGCUGGAUUCGCUAGUAAUCGCGCAUCAGCCACGGCGCGGUGAAUACGUUCCC